ensembl:lncRNA
UGGCCCUCCACCUCCAACAGGGAACAGGAGGUUAGUCACUCUCCUCUGUUCUGGGGCACAGGGCGGACUCUCCGCACAGGUUUCAUCCAUUGAAUCCCACGCAUUCUCUUCUUUGAACAAAUCGAAUCUUUUUGUUGCUUUCUGGAUGAGUUUGCUUUUCAGGCUCCUUGGGAGCAAGUGGGAGGAUGUCACUUGCCUCCAUCAUCAACCUCCAUGAGGAAAGAGGAGUCUGCUCAGUAGAGGACCAGAGUCACAUUUUCUCAGCAGAAUGGAUGGGAACUCAGAACAGUUCACCGACUGAGAAAUGGCACUGAUGGGCUCAGCACCUCCGAAGAUGAGAUGUGGCAGCUUUAAGAAGACUACGUUGGCCUAAUUGGGGAACACAGCCUAUGACUUGGAAGAAAGUGGUUUCCACAAAGGUGCCACAGCCUUACUGAGAUGGGAGCACAUCAUGGACUUGAGGCCUCAGGACAGCGUGAAGCCGAGGGGCCCAAAACCUGGAGCUGAGGCAGGUAGACUGCUUGGAGCGCCGAACCAGGAGCCCCUGGUUCUGAAGGGCUCAAAAAGCCACUUCUGUGAGCAGACCAAAACACGAAGAAAAGUGUCCAGCUAAGGGGAAUGAAGCCCCCGGCAGCUGGGAGGUCAGCAGUCUUGCUGGCCCUUGAUGUGCACGGUGUGGCCUUACAUGUAUGGACCCGGCUCCGUUCUCACCCUCCUAGGAGUAGCCAACUGUAUGGUCAGGAAGGGGUGAACGGAGAGGCGUGAACUUGACCUGAGCCGUGUGAGCCAUGGGGGUUAGGUAUGGGAGCCCCAGCUGAAGCAGCCAGGUGGAUGAAGAUUUUCAGGGGAAGGGCUGGUCAAGUGCCCCAUUCACAGGAGGGAGGGCACUGAAUCCUUCCUCACGAUUUCCGCCUCCCGCUGUCCUUGCUUACUUCUUACAACAUGGAGACAUCUCACUGUCCUGGACUUACAGGCAAUUUUGCUUCUAAUAGCCCCUCAUUCUUUACACAUGGACAAUCUCACCUCUGUUAAAAGUAAGACAAUAGGGCCUGGCCUGGUGGCGCAGCAGUUAAGUUUGCACAUUCCGCUUCUCAGCAGCCUGGGGUUCUCCGGUUUGGAUCCCGGGUGCGAACAUGGCACCACUCAUCAAGCCAUGCUGUGGUAGGCAUCCCACAUAUAAAGUAGAGGGUGAUGGGCAUGGAUUUUAGCUCAGGGCCAGUGUUCCUCAGCAAAAAGAGGAGGAUUGGCAGUAGUUAGCUCAGGGCUAAUCUGCCUCAAAAAAAAAAAAAGACAAUAGGCCGAAAUGGAGUCACUUAUGCUAAGUGCCACAUCACCAAACUGAGACUUAAGUUAAUUACACUUUUGGCCUCUCCCUGAAAUGGAGUCUUAAACCAGUCAAUCAGGAAUCGCCUGAUCAGUGCUAGUGAGGUCAUCAGCCUGACAGACCCCUGCUAUCCCCUAAAGGAAAGUGACCUUGCCACAGCCACUCUGCUCUUUGCUAGGAUAAUGUCCUUGUUCCCGCCCCCUUCUGCCUAUAAAAGUCUUUCAUUUCGUACAGCUCCUCGGAGCAUCUUUCUAUCUGCCAGAUCAGAUGCUGCCCGAUUCAUGAAUUGUUGAAUAAAGC